GAGCGAACGCUGGCGGCAGGCUUAACACAUGCAAGUCGAGCGGGCGUAGCAAUACGUCAGCGGCAGACGGGUGAGUAACGCGUGGGAACGUACCUUUUGGUUCGGAACAACACCAGGGAAACUUGUGCUAAUACCGGAUAAGCCCUUACGGGGAAAGAUUUAUCGCCGAAAGAUCGGCCCGCGUCUGAUUAGCUAGUUGGUGAGGUAACGGCUCACCAAGGCGACGAUCAGUAGCUGGUCUGAGAGGAUGAUCAGCCACAUUGGGACUGAGACACGGCCCAAACUCCUACGGGAGGCAGCAGUGGGGAAUAUUGGACAAUGGGCGCAAGCCUGAUCCAGCCAUGCCNNNUGAGUGAUGAAGGCCCUAGGGUUGUAAAGCUCUUUUGUGCGGAAGNUAAUGACGGUA
rnacentral:rRNA from 1 species